rnacentral:lncRNA from 1 species
AGAGAAACAGGACUGAUGCUCUAAUAAAAGAAGCUGCAAGGACCCAUCCGACCCUUGAAUUUUGUGACAUUUCGCACUGCCCGAGGACCUAUUCUGCCCUGAGAACACCAAGGAAGACAUCCUCAUCACAGCAAAACUGGCACUGUGGCCUGGAGCUUGCCAGCCUCUCAAACUAUAAGAAAUAAUUCUACAUAAAAUUACUCCGUCUCAGGUGUUUUGUUAGAACUGCACAACAGACUAAGACAACUUUGUGAAUGAAAUUAGGCAUGGAAACAAAGAGGAACAAAAUAAUACUUAGGCUGUAUAACUGGCCAUACAUUUUUCUGAGUGUUUUUAGUUUAAAAUCCAUUCAUUAACCUUAAAUAUAAGUUAAAUGAUUUCCACUUUAUAGAGAAGAAAAGUUGAAGCCCAUAAAGGCCAGAUGAUUACAAUGAAAAAAAAAUGUGUAAGUGGAAAGGUCAGUCCAAAGCUGUAUCUGUCUGCAGCACCCACCUGCCACUACAUUGGAAUUACACUGUUAAGGGUGAAUUUCAUAUAAAAGUCAAUACCAUUUGACAUCCCAUGUAAUCCAUCAUACCAUGCCAAUUACAAGCAUAGCUAUAUUUAAUGGAUUUAAUACAAAUGGGCCAAUGAACAUCUGAGAGAAACAACUGUAGAAGAUGUUCAACUCUCUUCAUCAACUAUCGUGCCAUAAGGUAUCCUAAGCAUUCUAGUCUCUCAGUGACUUUCAGCCUUCUGGUGAAAGAAGGUGCAAG